UACGAAGGGGGCUAGCGUUGCUCGGAAUCACUGGGCGUAAAGCGCACGUAGGCGGAUUGCUAAGUCAGGGGUGAAAUCCUGGAGCUCAACUCCAGAACUGCCUUUGAUACUGGUGAUCUUGAGUCCGGAAGAGGAGAGUGGAAUUCCUGGUGUAGCGGUGAAAUGCGCAGAUAUCAGGAAGAACCCCCGUGGCGAAGGCGGCUCUCUGGGACGGUACUGACGCUGAGACGCGAAAGCGUGGGGAGCGAACAGG
rnacentral:rRNA from 1 species